GGCCUGGGCAUCAGCAAGUCGGAUGGCAGUGGAAGGUGGAGAAAUGGAAUCCUGCUGGGGGCUCAGGAGGCCUGCCCCCUGAUGCUGCCGUGCACUGCAGAUGUCCUUGAUGAAGAGAAUGAAUGGAAGUUUAAAUGAUGAAACUCUGGGGAUCAGCGUAAAGUAAACCAACAUACUGCAUGUAAGUAUCAAGUAAAUGAGCAGAGACAGCCCCUGGUUUACAAACACCUGACUUAAGCAUCGUCCAUCCUACAGGACAGGGAAGGAGGAAGAAGCUUCGAGAGGCUGGAACAGUUGAGGGAGCGCUGACACGGUAAAGGCCACUUUGCUCAUCAUCACCAGGCGUGCUGCCGAAAAUUUCCACUCUGUUUACUCCCAAGACCUUACUCCUACUAUGUGGAGACACAUUUGAAUAAAAAAU
rnacentral:lncRNA from 10 species